GCAUAUCAUUGAUGAGAGUUACCUUAAUUGGAACCUUGAAUGAAAAUAUUGAGGAUCUUUCCAUAUCGUUACAGACAUAUAUUGACAAAAAUUCAUUGAAAACGAUAAAACUCUACUUUCAAACUAAAUCACUUUCACUUGCUUUAAUGGAAGGGAUUCACAGUGAUAGCUCUGGAGAUGAUUUAGAGAUAAAUAACAAAGUAAGAAGAAAAGAAUCAACAAGUUUGGUAGGAUAUGAUGUGGAAAAUAUUUCUUCUGACGAACAGCAAAAGAAUGGAAACAGUGAUGCAAAAGAAAGAAAGCAAAUAAUAAUAGAACAAGACAGAGAAUAUGCUCUCUUGGUGGCUGAAAAUUUUAAAAAAGAAAAUCAAAAAGCCUCAGCUUUGAAAUCUUUAGAAAGGAGACAACUUGUAAUAGACCAAGAUGAAAAAUUUGCUCAAUCUUUGGCUAAAGAUAAGGAAAAAGAAAAGCUAAAGAGUAACAAAGAGAAUGAAGUAGCUUUAGGCCAAGGGAAUAAACUGAGGCUAGAAGGUCAGAGGAGCCAACCUUGCAGGAAGAUUGGAUACUUUUGACUGUUAACCAUAUUGAAAGAGGAAGAGUACAAAGAUUAUUUCUAUCUUGUUCAAAAUUUCAGCAGGUGUACAUAUGGAUUGGCUCAAUAACCGAGAGUGGCAGAAAUUUUGUCUUAUCUUUCAGUCCUACAACAUAUAUUAAACCAGAAGAACUUGUAACUGUUGCUGACAACAAAGUGGUUAGCAUGACAUGGGAAAUUCAUGCAGUUUUUAAAUUAGAUGACGACACAGUUGCACACAGUAGCAAAAUUUGUUGUCCAGUGUGUGGAAAACAACAAAGCUUAAAGGAAAUUGAGGCACACAGGCAUACUUAUAUUGAUCUAAUAGAUGAAAACAUAAUAAAAACCACCAUGGACGAGGCUGAAAAUGAAGAAAAAACUUUAUACGAAGAAACAUAUUGUCCUGCAACAUCCAAUGUGUUGAUGGAUCCUUGUGAGAUUGAAGUAAGAUUGAAAGAGGCCAGUGUGUGGAAAACAACAAAGCUUAAAGGAAAUUGAGGCACACAGGCAUACUUAUAUUGAUCUAAUAGAUGAAAACAUAAUAAAAACCACCAUGGACGAGGCUGAAAAUGAAGAAAAAACUUUAUACGAAGAAACAUAUUGUCCUGCAACAUCCAAUGUGUUGAUGGAUCCUUGUGAGAUUGAAGUAAGAUUGAAAGAGGCUUUAGUCAACCUAAAUGUAAACACAAAUGGAAUUUCUUUAAAAGUACGACGUAAUCAUAUGUUUGCUGAAUUUUGUAAAAGAUUUAGCCGUCCAUGGAUUAGAGAACAUUUAGGUUCAAUGAUUGUUGUUACUUUCUAUGGGGAGUCAGGUGUAGAUCAGGGGGGUUUGAGAAGAGAAUUUUUUUCUGGUAGGUCUUGCUUUUAUAGUUCAUUUUUUGAGUUUUAGAAAUUAUUUAGAUAAACUGAUUAAAAUAUUUUAAAUGCGAUGGAAGAGGGAAAGCAACAACUGUUUGUAGAGAGUGAUGAUGGUUACAUUCCUUGUAUCAACUGUUACGGAGAUAUAGCCAAUGAAACAUUAAAAUUGUAUGGCGAAUUAAUGGCAUCUUCAAUUGCAAUGACUGGUCCUGCUCCAAACUACUUCGCAAAAUGGGUUUACAAAUAUUUCAUACAUGGAACUAAAAGCAUAUUUGAUAGUGGACUUAAAAUGACGAAGGAUAAUAAAAUUGGAGAAGUUUAUUACAAGUUGGAGAAAAUAACUGAUGAAAAGGCUUUACAAGCAAUGCUUUCUUUUGAUGAUGGAAUGGAUGUAUUAUGUGAAAUCGGCUAUAAGGGAAUACCUCAAAGAGCAAAAAUGCAAGAUAGAGAUGCCAUAUUAAAGGUAAGUCAACAACUGCACCAAAUACCUUCUUUCUGGAAAUUGGGUUUUUCAAACUGCUUUGAUAAAUGCACUGAAUUUAUUUCAUGAAAUAAGGCAGAAGAGUUCAACCUAAGGGACUUAUAUGUAUGUGUUUCAUUCAGAUAUUACAUGGUAGGGUUAAAAUGUUAAUGUAUUUUUAAGGUCGAUUAUGCUGAAAGAAAAAUUGCAACCCGUGAUGCUUGUUCUUGAUCAGUUUACUGAAGGUUUAAGACUCUAUGGAAUUCUCCACACUGUGCGAUCCCAGCCUGACUUAUUUGAGUUGAAGUGAUGGUUUACAACUGUGCGAUAUUCUAAAGUUUCUUUGUGGCGUGAAGUCCAUUCCUCCCCUCGGGUUGCCUUCCAAGUUGAUAUCUUAUUCAAGCAUUGGUGCGCAGGGAAGUCGACGCAUUGUAGAUGCAAGCCGUCCGUAUCAACGUGUUCGUUAUCGUUAACACUGCCAGUACAUUACAAUAUUGUUGAUAGCGUUCAUUGAUGCUGUAAAAAUGACUUACGGAUUUGACUUAUAGAGAUGACAUUCUUGCGAUUUAUUGUCCACGAAUUUGUGUAAAGCGUUAUAGUUAUGUUGCUUUAGUUGAAUAUUUUAUUUCACUCCGAAACAACCAGUAGUUUCUAUUUAUGUUGAUGAGAGAAAGAUGUUAUGUUUCUCUUUAUAUUUAAACGCGUCUAUGGACAAAACCUGUUGAACUAAAAAAGAUAGAAAUUCUAUAUAAAUAUAUUUUUUGUGUGCUAUAUAUUAUCAAUGGCUUCUAUAAGUUUUACAAAAAGUUUUUUAGCUUC